GCCCUCGUAGCUCAGUAGACAGAGCAGCUCCGUCCUAAGGAGUUGGUCGUAGGUGCAACUCCUACCGAGGGCA
rnacentral:tRNA from 1 species